AAGGGUAUAGCUCAAGUGGUGGAGUGUGUGCCUGGCACGCACAAGGUCCUGGGCUCAAUCCCCAGUAUCUCCA
rnacentral:tRNA from 1 species